rnacentral:rRNA from 1 species
GAUGAACGCUGGCGGCGUGCCUAAUACAUGCAAGUCGAGCGAACAGAUGAGGAGCUUGCUCCUCUGACGUUAGCGGCGGACGGGUGAGUAACACGUGGAUAACCUAUCUAUAAGACUGGGAUAACUUCGGGAAACCGGAGCUAAUACCGGAUAAUAUAUUGAACCGCAUGGUUCAAUAGUGAAAGACGGUUUUGCUGUCACUUAUAGAUGGAUCCGCGCCGCAUUAGCUAGUUGGUAAGGUAACGGCUUACCAAGGCAACGAUGCGUAGCCGACCUGAGAGGGUGAUCGGCCACACUGGAACUGAGACACGGUCCAGACUCCUACGGGAGGCAGCAGUAGGGAAUCUUCCGCAAUGGGCGAAAGCUUGACGGAGCAACGCCGCGUGAGUGAUGAAGGUCUUCGGAUCGUAAAACUCUGUUAUUAGGGAAGAACAAAUGUGUAAGUAACUAUGCACGUCUUGACGGUACCUAAUCAGAAAGCCACGGCUAACUACGUG